UGCCUCCCGUAAAACUUCUAUGAUGCCAU
rnacentral:piRNA from 1 species